rnacentral:misc_RNA from 1 species
UACAGAGGGUGCGAGCGUUGUCCGGAUUUAUUGGGUUUAAAGGGUGCGUAGGCGGGUAAUUAAGUCAGUGGUGAAAGCCGACAGCUCAACUGUCGAACCGCCAUUGAUACUGGUAUUCUUCAGUAUAGAUGAGGCAGGCGGAAUUUACGAUGUAGCGGUGAAAUGCAUAGAUAUCGUAAAGAACGCCUAUAGCGAAGGCAGCUUGCUAAACUAUAACUGACGCUGAGGCACGAAAGCAUGGGUAGCGAACAGG